GCUUGUCUCAAAGAUUAAGCCAUGCAUGUCUAAGUAUAAACAAAUCUAUACUGUGAAACUGCGCAUGGCUCAUUAUAUUAGUUAUAGUUUAUUUGAUGGUUCAUGCUACUUGGAUAACCGUAGUAAUUCUACAGCUAAUACAUGCAUCAAACCCCGACUUCUGGAAGGGGUGUAUUUAUUAGAUGGAAACCAAUGCGGGGCAACCCGGUAUAUGGUGAUUCAUAAUAACUUUCGGAUCGAUCUUCGGAUCGAUGCAUCAUUCAAGUUUCUGCCCUAUCAGUUGUGGAUGGUAGGGUAUUGGCCUACCAUGACUUUAACGGGUAACGGAGAAUUAGGGUUCGAUUCCGGAGAGGGAGCCUGAGAAAUGGCUACCACAUCCAAGGAAGGCAGCAGG
rnacentral:rRNA from 1 species